rnacentral:rRNA from 1 species
AUUGAACGCUGGCGGCAUGCCUAACACAUGCAAGUCGAACGGCAGCACAAUAAAGAUUUCGGUCUUUAUGGGUGGCGAGUGGCGGACGGGUGAGUAACGCGUAGGAAUCUGUCCUGGAGAGUGGGAUAACCCGAGGAAACUCGGGCUAAUACUGCAUGACAUUGAGAGAUCAAAAGCAGGGGACCGAACGGCCUUGCGCUCUGGGGUGGACCUACGUCGGAUUAGCUAGUUGGUGGGGUAAAGGCCUACCAAGGCGACGAUCCGUAGCUGGUCUGAGAGGAUGACCAGCCACACUGGGACUGAGACACGGCCCAGACUCCUACGGGAGGCAGCAGUGGGGAAUCUUGGACAAUGGGGGAAACCCUGAUCCAGCGAUGCCGCGUGUGUGAAGAAGGCCUUCGGGUUGUAAAGCACUUUAGGUGGGGAAGAAAGGUAGCGAGUGAAUAACUUUCUGCUGUGACGGUACCCACAGAAUAAGCACCGGCUAACUCUGUGCCAGCCGCCGCCGUAA